CUUUUUUUUUUUUUUUUUUUUGGUAUAGGUUUUGUCAAAAUUUGCUUGUUGUCGUGCACCUACAAGAAGGAAUAACUUUGCUAUUUAAGUACAAGAAAAAUGAAAAAUCUAGUGUUUUUAUGCAACAUAUUAUAGACAAGCCUACAUGAAAGUUGCAAGGUGAUUACUUUAAUUGCAAUACUAACUGGAAGUAGCUCUAGAAACAAUUUGAUUGAGGCCUAUAAUAUUAGCAUUCUUUUAUCUGAGAAUGAAGCGCUCAUGUAGUUGUCCUCCGUGCAUAAUAAAAAUUGAGAGCUUUAGGUUUGGAGUUGUGCAUAAGGUGAAAAGAUCUGAAAGAAAGAGAAGGGAGAAUUAUACAAAGAUUCAUCCAAAUACAUUUACCUUCUGAUGACGGCAUAUUGAUAUGAAUACAAACUAGAUUUUUUUUUUUUAAAAGCUAAUUUGCUAAAGUCAAUAGCCUAUAUAUGUAGCUUAAAUUUGCAUUAGGGUUGACAUACCUGUUGUUUGUUCUAUGGGUUGAGCAGCUUAUAGAAAACUAAACUUGCAAGAACAAAUAUUUGAAUUUCUGUGGUCUCUGACUGACUUAGCAUCUUAAUACAAGGACCUUUAGCAGAAGUUUUGCUUCUCUUUUUGUUCUUUAGCUUCAUCAAGUCUUGGCCUUGCUCCAAAUUUUGUAUCUGCUUUCAUGUGUUAUAGUCACUGGUAAUGAAAAUUAGUUUUUAACAAGCUCCUAAAGUUUAUGCUCUACAGAUAAAGGGCUGAAGUGAAAAUGAGUUAACUCUUCUUAUGUAUGCUGGUGAUCUCUCUCGAUGUGUUUCUUUUUUUCUAAUUUUCUAUAAAUCCUCAAAGAUUUAAAAAGUAAGAUCAAUUUGCUAUAUAUUGUUUCUUUCAUAGUUUAGGGUAGAGAUAGCAGCUGGUAUUUGGUGUCCUGUGAGUUGCCAUGCACAGAUAGACAUGACAUAACAAAUUAUGAACCACCUUAUUUCCUCUUUAAAUUUGCAGGAUAACUAAAACCCUUGAGCGAUAUCAACGUUGCAGCUUGAGUCCUCAGGAGAAUGCUGCUGAAAGAGAAACACAGGUUUUUUUUUUUUAUAACUAUGCAGACAUUCAACAUUGCAUCAGAUUCAGAGAAACACAGGUUUAUCUGUUAAGUUAUAGUAGCGACCACAUUAAUUAUCAUGAAAUAUGAUCCAGCAACACGUUACUCCAUGUGAAUCAUUAAUUGGACGCUCCAUGCCUUACUGUUUAUCCAAAAUAGAGCGUUUUUGUGGUCCUAGAGUACUCUUUUUCUUGCAAAUCUAGUAACUUUUUCCGUUUUGACAGAGCUGGUACCAAGAGGUCUCAAAACUGAAGGCCAAGUACGAAUCACUACAACGCGCUCAAAGGUUAUGCGUUUCUCCUUGUAUAAUUAAGCUCAUUAGUCCUUUUCCUUUAUUGCAGCCCUUGCUUCAAUUUCUUGGUAAUUACCUGAAGUGACAUAUAUAUUGACCUUUUUGUGAAUUCAGUGCACUGCUAUAACACUUGGUUUUACUAUCGACAGUUUGACUGAAUUUAUAUAAAACCUCUAUUUAUAUGGCAACUUCUAAAAUCAUAUUGUUAAUGCUUGAAGGCACCUACUUGGAGAAGAUCUUGGUCCAUUGAAUGUGAAAGAGUUGCAGAAUCUUGAAAAGCAGCUUGAGGGAGCUCUUCUCCAGGCUAGGCAAAGGAAGGUACUACUUACAAAGUGUUUGGAAUUACAGUUGCAAACCAUAAAGAAUUGAUCACAAAGAUGUGAUCACAAAGAAUUUCAAGCAGCCGAUUGACUCGCUGAUUUUAACUUUAUAACAUAGAUAAUAAUCCAAUUCUAUUUUUUUUUUUUCAAAUUGCUUCAAGAAAAAGAACAUCAUUUAUAAUUGACUUGAAUGUUUGGAAGCUGAAACAACAAUUGUAAAGUCAAAAAGAUCAACAACAUAUAGUCGAUAUUUUUCCAUCUUUUUGAUGAAACAGGUCUGUUUUUGUCAUCGUAUAGGACAUUUGCUGAAUACAUACAAAGUUGAUAUACAUGAAAUUAUUUUGUAAAUGUCCAAGAAGCUUCUACUCUUUCUAUAGAUACGUUCCUCUAAAUUUUACUUGAAUGUCGUCAUUCUCUCUAUAUAUAUAUAUAAACAGUAAGCUAUUUGGUGACUUGUCAUACUUCCUGCCAAUGAGAUUCUCACUGAUGCCAUUUCCCUCUUGUCCCCUCUAUAUAUAUAUGUAUAUAUUGCAGACUCAGCUAAUGAUUGAACAAAUGGAAGAGCUCCGAAGAAAGGUGAAAAUUAAAUUUUCUUGCUAAAUUAUUCUGAUUAUACCCUUUUUCUCUUUGAUACUUAAUCACUAGAAGUCUCUGAAGUUUCAAAUGUUUUCUUGGUCAAAAAUGAUUUCCGACGUCGUUCCCUUAACCUAGCUAAAGGAAUGUACCGAAACUAAAAGGAAUCCACUCUUGAUACGUACAUGUUAACGGAGUUGACGCCUGAGCCUCCAUAUCAGCUAGAGCGACCCUAUUCUGCAUGCUGUCAAAAAAAAAAACUGGAGAAAGUUCAAGUCUUUAAUUAGGUCAUAAACAUUUAAGAAUGUCACUUACAGGUUUUGCUAAUUGCUGUAAAACGGCCUAGUGAACAUGCAAGAUUUAGAAGCAUUUGCGAGGUCAAUUGAGUUUUUAUUGCAUGAACAUGUCCAAAUGGUUAUAAGUUGAAGUUGAGUGUCAUGAUAGGAAGCCAUGGAUGUGGCUUCUUUCAUUUCCUGCUCAUAUAUAUAUACUGGAAUUAUGCAAAAGUGUACCAUUUUAUGUGGUGGCAGGAGCGGCAGCUUGGGGACUUGAAUAAGCAGCUUAAGAUUAAGGUUUCCCUGGAAAUGUCAUCGGUAAUGAUUCGAUUCGAUUCGAUUCGUUCAUUAUGUGCACGUAAUAGGAUCCGUUAGCAGUCGGUCUGUGUUAUAUUACAUAGAAUUCAACAUUUUUCUUUCAUAUUUUGCAGCUUGAAGCAGCUGAGGGACAAGGCUUAAUAAGAGGCCUCCCUUGGCUUUGGAGUUCGAGUGUACCAAGUGGAAGCAGCAUGUUUCCUAUGCACACUUCUCACCCCAGUGCCGCCAUGGAUUGCGAUCCUGAGCCUGUCCUACAGAUAGGGUUCGUGCCCUUAAUUACGACAAUUUUCUCCUAUGUUGAAGUUUAGAACGGGAGGCAAUUCCUCAAAGCUCCUCAGUUCUUGAAAAGAAAAACAUCUGCAGAAUCAAAUCACUAAUUUUUUUCAGUUUUCUCUUGACCAACCAACAGGUAUCAUCAGUAUGCUCCGGCAGAAGGUCCUUCUGCCCCGAGGAGCAUGGCCAUUGAGAGUAACAUCAUCCAGGGGUGGGCUCUUUGAUAUCUCUUUGCAAAUCUUUUAUACGUUUGAUGCAAAAAACCAAUUCAAUGAUUUGUGCUUUUGGAUUUGAACAUGUUAAUCCCAUAUGAAACUAAGUACUUUAUAACUAGCUGCUUAAUUUUGUAUUUACAGAACUUGAAACUUACGCAUUUUGAUCUUUAUUGCAAGGAUUAUAAUCGCAUGAUGUAGACUGUUUGAAUCUUAACCUACCAUCUUUUUGGCCCUUGUAGAUAAAAUUUGCGUAUUUAGACUUCAAAAUUAUUGUCAUAGCAUUCUGCGAGUACGAAACCGUUUUUGCUCUCGAACAUUAGGACAGAAGAAAAGAAAAGGAAAAAAAAAAUCAAUAACUCAAUUUGGUACCCCUCAAUUAUUCAACUAUUCUCUCUUUGUACUCUAAAAAUUGUUAGUAUCUUAAGACAUUUUGUAUAUUCAAUUUGGAACCCCCACAUUGUACUGCUCGUUUUUAUUUUGACUACUUUUGAACCAAUUUUUACGAGUCAUUAAGUGUUGACCAGGAAAAGUUCAUAGGAUUUUCCUCAACUUUUUUUUAUUGGCAAUAAUAGAAGUGAAAAAUUCCUCGACACAACAAGGACUAACAAGCGCUGAAAGCCCAACUCUAUUAUAUGUAGGUUGAGCCCACUUCAUUGUGUUGAAAGGAUGGAACCAAGUAAGAGGGUUUAUAAGUCUCCUGCAGGAACCAUAAAAGUUGUCGGCUUUUGUGAUUUUCUGUUGGGUUAAGGUUUGUAAAGUUAUCAAAAGUCAUUUCUUGGCUUUGACAAAAAAGACAUCAGCCUUUCCGGGGUAAUUGAGAUCUCUUUAGGUUUUAGCAGUAGGUUCCCUGCAUAGGUUGAUAUCCCGCAUCGGGGUUGGGGGGAUUUGGGGUAGGUUUAUAAGUCUCCUGCAGGAACCAUAAAAGUUGCCGGCUUUUGUGGUUUCCUGCUGGGUUAAGGUUUGUAAAGUUAUCAAAAGUCAUUUCUUGACUUUGACAAAAAAGUAAGAGGGCUAUUUUUUCUUCUUUUUUUGUUUUUUGCCAGUUCCGGUAAUGAUUUUUGGUUAAAUUUGUCGUAAGACCGAAUUGAGUUGGCAGGGCCAUUAAUCAAAAUUAUUCAUUAAUUCUGACGUCAUUAGGUGCAUUCUCAAUUUCUCUUUUUCCUCCUUUUUUUUUUUUAACAAAUCCUACCAUCUAUCUCCUUUGCAUCGAAAAGGAAAACGACUAGAUUUCCUGUAAUAUUUAUCUUAAUGUCACGUUAUCUUAAACAUUAGAAAUUUUGCAGAACGUUCUGCGUAAGUUCUAAAAUUCUGUGCCAGUGACUAGGGGACUAGGCUUUCCUCUCCAUUACACUCUAAUAAAUGUUAAAUUUGAAAAUUAGUUUCAAAAACCAAUAGCGUUCAUAACCUAUUUCAUCACUUGUGCUAGUCAUACAUCAAAUUUUGUAUUAAACUGACUAAGUUUUAUGGUUUAAUUAAUCAUUACAAAAUUUGUUACAAUUUUGACUCAUUUUUCACCGUUUAAACGUUUCGUGCAAAUAAAAUGUCAAAAGAUUAUCAUUUUUUAUACGUUGAUCUAGAGAUCAAAGUGAUCAUAAUAAUGACGACAUGAUCGGAUGAUUUUCUAAAAUUAUAAUGAUUUACAUAUAAAUAAGUGGUUAGAUCAAUGGAGAGGAUUAAUAUUUCAACCCGUGACUGAGCCUGAUAGCAGAAAAAUAAUUACGUAACACUAAGGAAAUACAUUUCUAAGCUUCUCUGAAAGGAGGAAAAAAUAUUUUGUAUUGGAACGAAUUUCUGGGGUUAUAACAUGUACUUGAUUAAGAAUUCCAUCGCUAUUAACGUGGGCCAAUUCGAUUAGUAUUUGAUAGUCCCUAUUUUAUUUUUAUUUGUGUAUGUGCAAACUCAAUCAUGUUUAUACUUGAACUGCAAACUGACUGGUUUGGAACGUUUUAAUCACUAGCUAUUCCCUUACUUUUGUUUGAUCAGAAAUAUAUGAGUCUCUACGGAGCAAUUUCCAAAUUCUAGUCGAAGAAAACGAUCUUGUUCUCAAUGUUGCAAGUGAAAGGAGUACAACAAAAAACGGGAUAAUCUUUAAAUCAAAAUCAGCAGAUAAAAGCGCCAAGAAACCAAAUGAUAUGGUAGGGAAAAAAAAGAAGAAGCAAAAACAGUGCCAGGAGAACCCCAAGAUUCCCGACAUAGUAGGCUACUAUCUGAAACCAGUCAACCUAGCACCCCAAUUAAUAUGACGAAUUCUGCGCCAUUUUCUCAUUUUAAUCUCAUUUUUUUGGUAAAUUUUUUUGUUACAUUGAAUGUAAGCAUCAUAUCCAGUUUCUGUAUUUUCCCUCUUCUUUUGCUGCUGCUGUUGCCAUAAUGGAUCGAUCUAACAAGGAGAUCAAACCGGGAUGUUGUUUCCCGGUGCGCCUGGAUCGGUCCAUGAGGCGCAGCUUCAAAUUUUCCAGGAGCUCUUCCUCUGAUAAAUUGAUUAAAGGUGGGUACUACUGAUAAUUCCCUCUUCAUUUCUUUGCACGCCUAUCAUAAUUUCGCGAGACAGUUAUUAAAUUUUGCGAUGCAUAAGUGAAAUAUGGUGUGACAAAAUGUACAAGAUUCUGGUGACAUGCAAAGGGUAAAAGUUGAGGCUUGUCAAGAAUGAUAUUAAUUAAUCUCUUCAUUAAAAUGUGAAUAUGUUGUGGUUUUAAUUUUAUCAGGUUCACCAAAGACUGGUGAUACACCAAAAUCGUGCUCAGGGGCACCAGUCAAGUCGCCCGGGCUGGUGGCAUGCUUUGGGGAACUGUUGAUUGAUUUUGUGCCAACAGUUUCUGGAGUCUCACUGGCUGAAGCACCAGGUUUCAAGAAAGCUCCAGGUGGGGCUCCUGCUAAUGUUGCUGUGGGAAUUGCAAGGCUUGGAGGCUCCUCUGCUUUCAUUGGCAAGGUUCCACAAGCAGCUCCAAUACUUUUAUCACUAAAAGUUCUUGAAAUUUUACUUUAUUGCCAACUGGCUCCUCAUGUGUUAGCUUUUUUUUUUUUCCUAGUAUUGUUUGCUUUUUGCUUAGAUGCAUUAGAAUUGCUAUGGGUGACAGUGUGAGGCAUUCAAAUAUCUUCUAAUAGGAAUUCGAUUUUCCUAAAGAUCCUGGCUUUCGUACUUUGGUGGGGUCUAAAUCUUUUCCAUGACCUAUAUUAUGUUGAAAGCAUAUCUAUCUAAUCCGAUGAUCGGCCUGCGGUAGCAAUGGAACCGGGGAAAUUUCAUUUGAGGGAUUGCAAAGCAAUAGCUUGAAUGUUUAAGGGGGCUUCAUUGACGCACUGUUAUACCUCAGAGGGUUAAUAAGGAAAUCUCAGUAUUAGAAGAAGGCUGUAUUGUUGCAUUUUCAUGGUUUAAAGGUCUUAAUUGAAAAUAAUCCAUCUCGUUAUUUAAACAUCUUGUAUGUUUGCAGAAUUGUCAUUAUCUUUCCUUGUCAGAUAGGAAUUUUACAAACUAAUAAGCAAAAUGACAUGGGGUCAAGUCAAUAGAUCAAUCAAAUCUCCAUCAAACUGUUGAGUCCUUAGAUCAUUGCCUCGUUACUUUAGCAUCAGCAAGAAUAUCUGCUGCAAAUUUCUCCAGAAAGUUCGACUGUCAUGAACUGUUUAACAGCUCUGAGGUAUUGGACCUGUGGUGGUAACAAAUUAACAAUACAUGUUCAGGUGGGGCAAGACGAAUUUGGUUAUAUGCUGUCUAAUAUUCUGAAGGAGAAUAAUGUGGACAACUCUGGCAUGAGAUUCGACUCACACGCAAGAACUGCGUUGGCCUUUGUCACCUUAAGGGCUGAUGGCGAGCGGGAAUUCAUGUUCUUCCGCAAUCCAAGCGCUGACAUGCUUCUCACUGAAGCAGAACUCGACAAAGAUCUCAUCAGAAAGGUAACAUAUAAAUCAGGCUGGCUGCUUAAUUAUCUAGAAAUCAGAACAGGGCUAUUUCUGAACUAAUUGUUUCUUUCCAUUCGGAGCCUGAGAAUAAUCCUAACUGUUUUCAAAUCGUUAAAGAAAUUCAAGUCUGAUGUGCUCAUCUGGGCAACUACAUCUAAAGAUUUUCAGUUCCGCAAGUGAUCAUAGCUGGUGGAUACUCAAUUACGUUGGAUACACUUUUUUGUUUUUGUGGCAUCAUAGAUACGUUUUCCCAUCACCUUUUUAUAUUUUUAGUCAUUUUUUUAUCUUACAUACGUCACGUCAUAAAAAGUGUUACUGAAUUAUUCUGAAUUUUUUUUCGAAAUAAUCUUCAAUCCAAACACACUGAUACACUUUUGUUCUUUGCAGUCCUGCAUUUUUCACUACGGCUCGAUCAGUUUGAUUGAGGAACCAUGUAGAUCAACUCAUCUUGCAGCUUUGAAAGUAGCCAAAGAGGCAGGUUGCAUUCUCUCUUAUGACCCAAAUCUUAGGUUGCCCCUAUGGCCAUCAGCUGAGGCUGCUAGACAAGGCAUCAUGAGCAUAUGGGAUCAAGCUGAUGUUAUUAAGGUACUCCUAUCCCAUGUCUACCAAGAUUUUAGACUCAAGAAAUACACUAUUAAUUAUUUUAAGUACUACUAGUCAUGCUCAUUAUAUAUGGAGGAAUGCUAAUUUGAUUUCUGCAUCCAUUUUGGCGUCGCGAGUGAAUUUCAGAUAAGUGAGGAAGAAAUCACAUUCUUGACUGGAGGAGAUGAUGCUUACGAUGACAAUGUGGUGUUUAAAAAGCUUUACCAUCCAAAUCUUAAGCUUUUGCUUGUUACUGAAGGGCCAGAAGGCUGCCGAUACUACACCAAGGUUGGCCUUAGAUUAACCUCGGAUAUCUUGGUGAAAUGAAAAUAUGCAUAUAAAUCACGUGCAAAAGAUUAUUCAAAAUCUUUAUGCAGGAAUUUCAUGGAAGAGUUCAUGGUGUAAAAGUCCAGGCAGUUGACACAACUGGUGCAGGGGAUGCUUUUGUUGGCGGAUUGUUGAACAGUUUGGCUACAGACCCUGAUUUGUACAAGGUAAAUAAAGCAGUAUUUUCUACAACCUCACUUGCUAAAUCAGGCUAGAAGAAGAAAAUCUGGACAAUGAUUUGGACAAACAUCAGAUUUUUAUCAAGUAACAUAGGAUCAGAAGUGUGGUUGCCUAUCCAGAAAAGUAAAUAUAUAAAGAAAACAGAAAAAUAUAUAUGAUCAAAUAACAUAUAUAAAGAAUCGAAACCAAUUAUAUCAAAUUGUUUGCAAAAGCUGUACCUAUCAAGCGAUCCAAUAGAAAAAAUAAGUUGGCUGGCCAUGAAAAAGUGAUUUUGAAACAUACGGUUUCCCUUUUCAACUACAUAUGCCUCAAAGGAGUACCAAUUGAUGAUUCUCAUCAAGACGUGUGGACAUAGGCCGAAUGGUUGUCAGGAAAUCGUUCGGGCCGAUUUUAUGCAAAAUGCACAAAAUAUAACUUUGUAUGCACACGAUAUAAUUCACUUUCAAUAACGUGUAACUAUACAAUAAAAUUUUAUGAAUCCAACACACAGUGUGAAAAACGAUGUACAAGAUGCAGUCUGAAUCUUACACAUAGUUAUAAAAAAUAGACCAUUAAGUGUUAUCAAAUCUUUGAUUUUGAUUUUUCCUCUAUUUUUGCAAUAAUGUAAUUUAGAUUUAUUUGGAGCAAUAACUAAUUAAGAGGGAAUCUCACAUAUGAACCUCGUCAAAAUGGCCAAAUUGUUUCACUGAACAGAACCCUUCUGCUUCUUCUUUUUGAAGAAUGUUCAAAUUGUAAUGUACCCCAUGGUGCAUAGACACUAGUUCUUAAUUUUUGUUUUUUCCUUUUUGGCUGCAGGAUGAGAAGAAAUUACAAGAGGCCCUUUUGUUUGCCAACGGCUGUGGUGCAAUUACUGUGACUGAGAAAGGAGCAAUCCCAGCGCUCCCAACUAAAGAAGCAGUCUUCAAGAUUUUGGAUGCUGCUACUGCCUGAUGGAAACCCUCAGUUCCAAGUUCUAUUUCUAUAUUCUGAUGCAGCAGCCACAUCUCACAAAAUUUAGGCUUUUUUUUUUAUGUCAAAAUUUUGUCCGUCUUUCCUUCUUAUGAACCAAAUUGCUGCAUGAUUUGAGGUCCCCAUAUAAUACUAUCUACUUUGGUAUGUAAUGAAGCAAACUACUUGAAUCCACUUUUUUACUUUUGGUAUGAAAUGAAGCCAAUAGUAGACUUGCAUUUUCUGCUGCAUUAUUUUAUGCUUCAUUUUGGAAGAUCUUGCAUUUUACAAAGGUGCUCUAAGUUUGAUACUUAUCUUAAUGUAUGCUAAUUACCUCUUUGCAAAGGUCCCGCCAAAAAGACUAAAACCAAUACUCCACUCUCUCUCUCUCUCUCUCUCUCUCUUGGAAAUGCACUCUUUUAAUUUUUUUUCCUUUUUUGGUUUAACUUUUUUAAGGAUAAACAUUGGAUAUAUAGGCUAGUAGAGAAGAAGGGACAAAAAAAAACACUUAAAAUCUAUUAUUUUUUUUUUAGAUAGAUGAUUUUUGUGAUAUAAUGUAUGUGAAAUAAAAGAUGGUUGAGAAGAUUAAAAAAAAAAAAAAAAGUGAUUGGCAAAUGUGUUUAUGGUACAAGUAAAAUAUUUUUUUUUCUAAAUAAUCAUGUGUCCAAACAAACCUUUUUUUUGGGUAAAUUACUCAUUACCCCCUUAUGAUUUUACUUAAUGUUAGAUUACUCCCUAAGGUUGUAAAAUAGCCAUAUAACUCUCCUGUAGUUUUAUGUAAAGUGAAAAAUAGAGAGAAUGCACAAUCAGUUAUGAUGUUAAUACUAAACGCGCUUUAAAAGCAUGUGUGAUAAAAUUUUAAUAUCCACAUAAUUCCUUUAUGAUUUGUAUAAAUAUUCACUUUAUUCCCCAUGUAAUUUUUGUACUUAUCCACGUAAUCUCUCUAUACUUUUAUACAAGGUGAUUAAACCAUCAAUGAAUUUAGCAUUUAAGUAAGCACUAUUGGUAUUUCAACUAACCACGUUACAUAGGUUAUUUUCCAUCAAAUUUCCGCUUUACACAAAAUCAUAAAGGAUAAAGUCGAUAUUUUGAAACGUUAAGGAGAUCAUGUGACAAUAAAUGAAACAACAAAAGGGUUACAUGUAAUUUACCCUUUUUUUCUCUUUUUUUAAAAAAAAAUUUUGGUUUAGCAGAACUCUAUACAGUAACACCUUAUUUUCUAACCAAAAGCCAAGCCAUGUCCCACAACAAAGCCAAAACACCUAAACGACCAAACUUGUAAAUGCCAUCAACCAUAUACAUCUCUACUUUUUACUUUCUUAGAUCCGUUUGCUAAUCAAAUUCAAUAUUUUAAUUUAAUAAAUUUAAAUCUUAAUAUGUUCAGACGCGUUUGAUAAGCAAAAAAUCUGAAUUAGUUAAGUGACACUACUGAAUUUUCUAAAUAAAGUUUGGUCUAAAAAAUAAAUAAUAACUAUUUACUUAUCACUAAAUGUGAUAUACACUCAAAUGUAUUAAUACUUGACAAUUCAAUAACUUAAUAUUUCGAAUUUCGAAUUUAGUUUUCAAACUUCAGUUAUAUCAAACACACCCUUAAUCAGUUGACUUCGCGAAAUAACCCUUAACUAAAACUUUUCUUCGUUGAAUGUACAUGGAUUCUUCAGUCAACCAGCUCUUAAAUUCACAAAGAAGAAAAGAGAAAAUUUUAAAGCCCAUUCAGUGGCGAAAUAGAUAUAUUAAUAUACCUCAGGGUAGACCCUAUGAAAGAUUUUCUUGAUCGUAUUCCAUUGGGAAUACGAUGCCAAAAUUAAUAAAACUAACAACAAUAAUGCAAUCACAGGUUCGUUUAUCACUCUUGAGGCGUAAUAAUGCUCUCCGAUUCUUGCUUUCCACAGUCUAGCAGCUAUAGGCUAUUUCAUAUUUGACAUUGAAACAAUCGUCAUAAUAAGC
rnacentral:lncRNA from 1 species